rnacentral:rRNA from 1 species
UACGGGGGGGGCAAGCGUUGUUCGGAAUUACUGGGCGUAAAGGGCUUGUAGGUGGCCAACUAAGUCCGACGUGAAAUCCCUCGGCUUAACCGGGGAACUGCGUCUGAUACUGGAUGGCUGGAGUGUGGGAGAGGGAUGCGGAAUUCCAGGUGUAGCGGUGAAAUGCGUAGAUAUCUGGAGGAACACCGGUGGCGAAGGCGGCAUCCUGGACCAUUACUGACACUGAAAAGCGAAAGCCAGGGGAGCAAACGGG